GCCAGGCAUGGUGGUGCACGCCUGUAGUCCCAGCUACUUGGGAGGCUGAGGUGGGAGGAUGGAUUGAGCCCAGGAGGUCAAGGCUGCAGUGAGCUGUGAUUGUGCCACUGCACUUCAGCCUGGGCAAUAGAGCAAGACCCUGUCUCAA
rfam:Pan troglodytes isolate Yerkes chimp pedigree #C0471 (Clint) chromosome 19, whole genome shotgun sequence.